rnacentral:rRNA from 1 species
UACGUAGGGAGCAAGCGUUAUCCGGAUUCACUGGGCGUAAAGGGAGCGCAGGCGGCACGGCAAGUCUGGUGUGAAAACCCGGGGCUCAACCCCGGGACUGCAUUGGAAACUGCCGGGCUGGAGUGUCGGAGGGGUAAGCGGAAUUCCUAGUGUAGCGGUGAAAUGCGUAGAUAUUAGGAGGAACACCAGUGGCGAAGGCGGCUUACUGGACGAUGACUGACGCUGAGGCUCGAAAGCGUGGGGAGCAAACAGG